rnacentral:lncRNA from 1 species
UGAAGAAGGUGAAAAACUUUUUAGGGAAAUUUGACUUGUAUGUUGUACAUGGCGUGGGCCAUGCAGAGGUUGUAGAAGAUGAUGUGAAUCAAAUUUAUUUACUUUGUGAAGUUGAAGUACCUGGUUCGAGUGGUGAGGGUAGUGGGGUUGUAGGUUUCCCACAUGUUGAGCGUGGUGGUGAAGGAAAUAUGGAGGAGGUUGAAGUGCAUAAUCAGGUUGAAAAUAGAGUAGUUGAAUAUGGUGAAGUAGGGGUGCAGUUGAUGAUUGAGGGUGGGUUGGUUAGUCAGGGUUAGUUGGUUAGUGAGGGUGAAUUGAUGGGGACAAAUGGCAGAUUGGAGGUGGAGGUGGAUAUAGAGGGUGGAUUUCAGGUGGAUAUAGAUGGUGGAGUGGAGUUGGAAAGUAAUGGUGGUGGAGUAGAGUUGGAACAAAGUGCUAGCGAGGAGAUGGAUGGUGGAGUGGAGCUGGAUAGAGAUCACUAUGUCAAAAAGGGUUUUUUAUACAUGUUUAAAAAAGGCUUUUUAUACCUAUUUUUGAGUAGGUAUAGAGGCAGGGGGUAUAGAAAGCUUUCUAUUUUUUAUACCUAUUCUAAAGCCGGUAUAGAAAGUUUUACUUUUUAUACCUGUUCUGUUUAUAAAAUGUAAAAUGUCUGAUAUUUACACAUGGUAUUCUAGGAACAGGUAUAAAAAGUUCCCUUCAUUGCUAGAGAAAAAACUCUCUUUUUAUACCUACUGGUGCUAUAAUAGGUAUAAAAGAGUCUCACUUUUAUACCUGGUGGUGCUAUAACCGGUGUGAAAAACAACACUUUUUAUACCUGGUGUGGCUUUAACAUGUAUAAAAAGUGACGUUUUUUUUAAAUAUUUGAUUUAUAUGUGCUACUAUCCAUAUCCAAACCUGCAUAAAAUUCAAUCCCAGAAUACUGUUUAAAUAAUCAAUAACGAGUAAAAUAAUCAAUAUUGUUUCAAUUAACACAUCAAAAUGUAAUAUUUACCUAACAAAGUUCCUAAAUAUAUUAACCUAACAUAGUUACACAUAAAAUAGUUCCUAAACUCAAAAUGUAAUAUUGAAACAUCUAAUCAUUUACAAAUGGUUAAAAGAAAUGUAGCCCAAUGCUCUCGAACAUCCUUUAUGACAUGUUGCUCCAUUGAAGACGUGUCAUCAAAUAUCUACACAAUUAAUAGUUUGAGUCAAGUUACAAUAUUAAUGACUUAAGAUCUUAGUUAUAAAAUGUUCAUGUUACUAAUUUCCAUGAGUCAAUGACAUUUGUGGAUAUAGUUUUCUGCAUGUACCUCAUGACAUAAUAUCCCUACUCAAAGCUUCCCGGUUGACGUGAGCACUACAAGUUAAAUUUAUAAAGUAUCAUAAAAUUUAUAAUUGUAUAUAUAGUUUGAAAGAUUAACUACUUACAGUCAGUCUUACUAAUAAAUUUAUAAAAAAAAAUCAUAAUGUAAGGUCUCACUGAGAAAUUUAAAAAGAAAAAACAAAUAAUACCUAAUAGCUUGGGCAAAGAAUUAUAUGUGAAAGGUCUCAAUGGGAAAGGAGCUAUAAGAGGAAUCUGACAGCAGAAUCUGCACAAUGUAAUAGAAUUGUUUGAAUGAUUGGUACAUAUUGUUGUGGUAAACUGCUGAAGAAAAUUAUAAAACAUUACAUUUGAUUUAUAUGCCAAAGUUCGAAUAGGAUAACAUUAUUGUAGGUUACAUCUUAUCACUUCUACCUUAUCCUCUCAAGGAUUUCACCCAAAGACAUUAUAUUAAGAGACAGAACUAAAAUUUCUAUGAUGACUAUGAUUAUUUGUGUUCUAAGACAGGACACGUGUUAGAACAAUCGAUACCGAAUAGAUUCGCAUAACAGAAUAAAAUAAUAAGCGGAAAACGUGCUCGGUCACAAAUCAAGUUAAAAUGGUUUAUUUUAGAAAAUUAAUUUUCUUACAGAAAAUUUAUCAAACAGUUGAUAUGCAUAAAAUUAAAGAGUGUAGGGAGUAGAAAAAUUGACACACUAGAUUUUUAUACUGGUUCGAUUCAAAAGAAUCUACGUCCAGUUGUUAAUCACUAUAAAAAGUUAUUAAUGUUUUCACUAAAAAUUAUUUCACAGAUUACAAUAGAAGUGAAUAAAUAGAAUGAUAAAACCUUCCUUCGACAAACGAACCAGAAGAGUGCUUCCUUCGACAAACGAACCGGAAGAGUGCUUCCUUCGACCAACGAACUAGAAGCGAGCAAUCUGCACUUUCCUUCGACCAAUGAACCUAAACAGUGCAGAGAAAAUCUUCCUUCAACAAACGAACCGGAAGAUGACAAUCUUGCCAACUCGAAGAGAACACUUCGACCUUUGACCCACAAAGCGCGAGCUUCUCCUAUUCACGAGACCAGGCAAAGGACUUGAACUAGCUUUUUAGAACUUCUUUAGACAAACUGUAUUCUUAAAAAGCUGAGAGUUACCCUCUAAGGGUUUAAAACCACUAUAUAUAGCUAACUGGUUUGAAAAUGAAAAGACACUUUACAACUGCCAGUGAUAAUCGAUUAUUGUAAGUUAUAAUCGAUAAUUCAAGUCUGUUACAGGUUUUUCAAAAUAGUGAUAAUUGAUUAUUCCAAGAACUUGGGCAAUUCUCAUCAGGACCAGUGAUAAUCGAUUAUUUGGAGUAAUAAUCGAUUGUUCCAUAGCAACAUGGUUUUUCAAGAAAGCUUAGAAUAAUCGAUUAUAGCUUCUCAUAAUCGAUUAAAUACGUAACUUGACUAAAUAUACGAGAUUUUCUAAAUAUUACAUAUUCAGCGCCUUCCCUAAUACAUUUAUAUUCUACAAAGUGCUUUAAAAACAAUUAUAACAGUCUAUCUUCUUGGAGCAACAUCAAAAUCAUUUAUCUUCAAAUUUAUCAAUGUUCCUCAUUGGUAACAACACAGUCCUAGAUUCUUGAGCACUAAAAAAACAAUACACAUAAAUUUGCAGUAUCUUGUAGCUUUGAAAUGUAAUUCAAGGCAUACUAACAAAUAAGCCUAAGUCUAAAAUUCAGGGUUGGUGGUCUUUCCGGAGGUUGAAGAUUUAGGCGAUUUUCAAUAUUGCCUAAACGAACAUUAAUUUCAUGAAAUUGAUCCACCACAUAAUCUACAUGAGCUUGCUACCACUCAUAAAUUUGUUCAAAGUGAGCUUUUUGGGCAAGACUCAUAUCCUUCAAUUGUUUAGACAAGUUGGCAAAGUGUUCUUCCAUGGUGAGUGUGGAGGAUGAAGGAAUUUUGGAAGGACCAGCAUCAGAAGAAGCAGCAGCUCGCACUAGUUCCGCCAUGUGAUCAUCAAUAUCUUUAUCUUCAUCAUCAUCUUUAUGAUCAUCAUCCUUAUGAAGGAUCACUCGUCCACGAGUGACAAACCCCAUUUGACGAAAUGUGGUCUCGCCAAUUUCAGUUCUAAUGGCUUGAAUUGCUUAAGUGUGUUCGCCUUCAACACUUACUCCAUUGUACUCCAAAAUUCUAGAUAUAAGAAGAGCAUAUGGGAAAUUAUAAGAAUGAUAUUUCUUGGCCUUUAGCAUGGUGUCGGCAAUAAGUGUUGGCCAAUCAAUGUGUAUGUGAUUCAGAAUCCCAUAUAGAAGAAGCAGAUCUUGCUUAGAGCAUUGAGCAUGGUUGGUGGCCCGAGGACAUAAAAUCCACACGAUUAGAUAGCGAAUCAUCCUUUUUUCAACUUUGAAUCCAACAACAAGCAAUUGCCGACGGUUGGUCUGUUGUUAAGGAUGUUGCAAGAAGGAUUGAAAAGCAAGCAGACGGUUGAAAUCUGGGACUCCAAGGUGAACUUUGACUGCAUCAUCCCAUAUGGUGAGUUGUGCAACAUUUUUCCACACGUCGUCAUCCAAAAUUAUUGGAACACCCUUCACUUUUGUUGUCACGACGUCAUCUCGGUACCGCAGAUUAAAGUAAAAGACUCGAAUGAGAUCGGGGUAGAUGCACCCCUUUUGCUCCAUGAGAUGAGUAAGUCCUUGAGCACCAAACAAAUCAGGAAAUUGAAAUCCGUAAAAUCGAUAAAAAUCAAGGCAAAUGUACUUUACCACCAUGAUUCGUCGUUCUUGCUAGAAAUUGACAUAAUUAGCAUGUUUGUCUUGAUCAGAAAUCCACCCGUCAAUGGUUGUUGGACGAGGUCGGGAAGAAGAAGAUGCACCAGUAGUUCUCCUACGUUUUCUUCUUAAUUAAGCCAUGAAGGAAGUGAAUAAAAGGAAACUUGGAAAGAAAUUGAGAGAAAUGAAGAAAUUUGGUUCAGAUUUAACAUGAGUAAUGUUUUGGGUGCAAAGAAGUGAUCAUUAAUCGAUUAUAGGAGGCUAUUUAUAAGAGAAAUGGAGAAACUAAUCGUUUAUGGUCGUUUAUAGCCGUUAUAGAGCGCUCUAACAACUCUAUUUUUGAAACUGUACGCGUGAUAAUCGAUUAUUGUAACUGAGAAUUGAUUAUCUGCUCAAGAAUCACUUUCUAGAAAUUGUAUGAUAAUCGAUUAUAGAUGAAGAUAAUCGAUUAUCUGCUUAUAAAUAUCCAGAUUUGGGUUUGAGUGAGAAUAAUCGAUUAUUCUAUGGGAUAAUCGAUUAUCUGCGAUUAGGCCUUUUGUCAAAGCCAAAAAUAAUCGAUUAUGAUACUGUGAUAAUUGAUUAAAAACGCUAGACUUACAAAAAUUGUGAAAAAUUCAGAAAUCUUGAGCCUAAGACAUAUCUAACACUCCUAACUCUCUUCUAAGCUCAUAGAAUCUAUCUUUAGGCAGUGCCUAUGUAAAGAUAUCAACUACUUGAUGUAAAGUGUCAAUGUAUUCAAUUUGGCAAUCUCCUUAUUGAACAUGAUCUCUCAAGAAAUGAUGUCUAAUCUCAAUAUGCUUAGUUCUUGAGUGCAAUAUGGGGUUCUUAGUUAGGUUGAUAACACUAGUGUUAUCACAUUUAAGAGGAAUGUGAUAAAGGAAGAUAUCAAAAUCCUCCAAUAGUUGUUUCACCCAUAAAAUUUGGGCACAACAAUUGCCAGCAACAAUGUAUUCAACUUCAGUGGUAGACAAGACUACACACGCUUGUUUCUUAAAGUGCCAAGACACUAAAGAACGACCCAGAAAAUGACAAGUUCCACUAGUACUUUUCCUAUUGUUAAGUCCUUGGCAAGUGUACCAGAUCGUUAUCAAGUAAUGUAAAAACGGUAAGUCCGAGUAUCGUUCUCCCAAAGGACUCUUAGGCCUUAACUUUCAUGUAAAUCAAUUUUAUAAGACUUGUGAAGGAAUAAAUCUUGUUGUUUGUAUGCAAAUAACGAAAAUAAACAUGCACAUGCAAGUGAUUUAAUUGGCAAGAAAAAGAUAUGGAUGAAUGAAGUUGUUGGGGUUUACAAUUUCAUCUUAUCCACUCUCUUAUAUAUACUCUUCUUGUUAAAUUCGCUUUAUUAUCUAAUUGUCAUGCAAACUUUCUUAGUCUACCCUAAACCCAAUCCCUCGGUGAGAAGAGCCUGCAACUAAUUACUGGCUUACUAUCCCUAGUCUCCCUUAGUAACUAGCAAUGUAAGUAUCACAGAAGCAAAAUACAAUUGAUCAUCCUACCCCUAUCCCUAGGUGGUAUUGCUUAAUCAAGGAAUUCCCUGUCAGUUCAUGACUUCCCCGUACGUCCCCGUAUCGACAAAGGCAAACAUCUUUAUAUCGAAUGAGUUAAACGAUAAAAGCUUUGAGCAUAGAUAAGAAACCCAACAAUUGAUAAUCAAAGCAUAUGCAAGCAUAUAAAUAAAAUAAGAAUUUCAAUAAAAGAGAGUUUCAAAAGAUUACAUUGUUCCCCAACAACAAAGGGUUUAGUUCACCAUAGACAUGGUGAAACUAGAUGAAAUUAAAUGAAAGAAUGAAAGAAUAAACCCUAUAUGUGAUAAAUUGGAGCCUAAGCAUCCAAGAAACCGUCUCCAAGGAGUGUAGAAGUGCUCUAGACGUCUCUUCUACCAAAAGAAUACUUUGAAGGUUGCAUUGGGGCUAUUUAUAACACAGAAAAGUAACAGAAUUUCAACCCAAGCCCAGUAGACAACCGCUCAGUGCCUAAUUUGGCUGCUAAGCGGUUUCCCUCUAGCCACGCCACCGCUCAGCAGUCUAUUUCACCACUCAGCGGUUUGCCCCUAAUCGCAGAACUGCUCAGCGUCACGGCCCGGGCUUCAAACAAUGGUUGCUCCCUCGAAUAUAGCACUCAGCGUUGGAUUUUGACGCUGAGCGAUGAAUAGACUAUUCUUUUAUUCCUUUUUCUCCUUCUUUCUUGAGUUUAAGUCCUUCCUACUUCACCUCCAUCUUUAAUUCCCAUCAAAACCCUGCAAAACAAGCAUAAUAUCUCUAAAAACAGCUUUUGACUCUCAUGUGACUCAACCUAAGUGUUUUACUUGAUUCUAAGCUCAUUCUAAGCCACAAAGGGUGUGUUUUCAUAUCAAAUUUAAGCAUGAAAAUAACGGUUUUUAGACCGUUAUCACCUAUCAAUUUUAUAGCCACCAUAAUUUGCAUUAGAAUAUCUUAUUAAACUAGGUGAAGCAUCAGAAGGAUACCAAAGUCCAAGGUGGUUAAGGCAUUUCAAAAUUCUCUUGACAACAGUUAAGUGAAAUUCCUUAGGAUUAACUUGGUACCUAGCACACACACAUACACUUUGCAUAAUGUCUGGUCUACUACCAGUUAGAUACAAUAAAGAUCCUAUCAUAUCUCUAAACAUAGUUUCAUUAACUACUUCACCAGAUUCAACUUUAUCUAAAUAAUAAGAAAUUGCCAUCGGUGCGUUGGCUUCUUUACAAGUAUCCAUACCAAACUUUUUAAGCACUUCUUUACAAUAUUUAGUUUGGGAGACAAAAGUUCCCCCUUCCAUUUGCUUUAUUUGCAAUCCUAAAAAGAAAUUCAGCUCACCUAUCAUACAUCUUGUCGCAACCGGAAUCGCGACGGGACGACGAUCCAAAGAAAACAAUUUGGAAAAAGAGAUGUUGGAGUCACCACCAUAGUUUAUUCUGAAAAACUAAGGAAAAAACCACAAAGAGAAGACACGGUCCACGAAAACCAAAGAUUGGGUUCGAGAGUCGAUUACGUGUAGGGAAGGUGUUAGCACCCUACAACGCCUGCCCGAAGGNNNNNNNNNNNNNNNNNNNNNNNNNNNNNNNNNNNNNNNNNNNNNNNNNNNNNNNNNNNNNNNNNNNNNNNNNNNNNNNNNNNNNNNNNNNNNNNNNNNNNNNNNNNNNNNNNNNNNNNNNNNNNNNNNNNNNNNNNNNNNNNNNNNNNNNNNNNNNNNNNNNNNNNNNNNNNNNNNNNNNNNNNNNNNNNNNNNNNNNNNNNNNNNNNNNNNNNNNNNNNNNNNNNNNNNNNNNNNNNNNNNNNNNNNNNNNNNNNNNNNNNNNNNNNNNNNNNNNNNNNNNNNNNNNNNNNNNNNNNNNNNNNNNNNNUUUUUUUUUUUGUAUUUUUAUAGAAAAAAGGAAAAGGUUUCAGCACAAGGCCUACGCGAACGGUCGCAUGUGUGCUUAAACAUUUCAAAAUAAAUUUUUGUUGAUUUUUUUUUGAAAGAAGAAAAAGGUUUUCAACACAAGGCAGACAGAAGGUCGCACGUGUGCUUAAACCUUUUAAAAUAAUUUUUUUUUAUUUUUGAAAAAAAAAGAAAACGGUUCUUAGCACAAGGCAGAUAGAAUGGUCGCACGUGUGCUUAAACCUUUUAAAAUAAAUUUUUGUUGAUUUUUUCAAAGAAGAAGAAAAAUGUUUUUAGCACAAGGCAGACAGAACGGUCGCACGUGUGCUUAAACCUUUUUAAAAUACAUUUUUAUUAUUUUUUUUGAAAGGAGAAGAAAAAGGUUUUCAACACAAGGCCGACAGAAUGGUUGCACAUGUGCUUUAACCUUUUGAAAUAAUUUUUAUUGAUUUUUUAGUAUUUAUAUAUUAAAAAGUAUAUAGAUACUUAAAAUAGAAAAAGGAAAAACCAAAAAAUAAAAAAAAUAAAAAUAACAAGAUAAAUAAAUAAAUAAGAAUAAAAAUAAAAAUAAAAACAAAAAUAAAGAUAAAAAGUAAAAUAAGAAAACAAAAUAAAAAGGUGUGGAGGUUCUUAAAUAGAAAGAGGGUGUGCAAACCUAAUUUAAUUCUAAUAACAGAUUGGGCCUAAGCCCAAGCGGAAAGAGGUAUGAAAAUGAAAAUAGAGGGCUGCAAAGAGGAAAAUCGAAUGGGCUUAAGCCCAAGAAGAAUGGGGUGCGAUCCAGCAAAAUAAGGGGUGCGGGAAAAGUUUUUCUUUUGGUUGGUUUUUUUUCUUUUGACAUGGCCCAACAAUGACCCAGGCGCCUCUCUCUCCCAAGUUCAGGAAAUAGGGGUUCUAUCAGAUUAUCCUCAUUCAACCAAUUUACGCAUUCAGCACCAAGAGACCCGGGUCUCACCCUCUGAGAGCGAAAACCCAGAGUGGCCUCCACUUCCGCCACUCGCCACUCACUCCGCCUCAACCAAGCCAGCCACCGCAACGACCCUCCAGCUCCGCCCAUAUUUUCACCGGCGACAGCAGACACCACCGGAACCAUGGCCGGCCACAGCGUCAGGUUAUUUUCCCAAGCUUCCCUGCGCGUGAGGGGGAACACCCUCUCUCCUUCUACUCAUGCCGGCCUAGGGUUUGGGGUUUGCCUCUAACCGGAUACUGCCUACCACCGAUCCCAUCUCGCCACCUCAUCGCCGGCCACUAUCUCCCCAACGUCAGGGCCGCCAUACCACAGAGGCCGCCAACGUGAACGUUACUCCUCACGUGUCUUCUUCGCCCUUUCCGAAGUAGCAAACCAUCAACGGUGGCACCACCACGGCAACUCCCAAUCGUGAAUUACAAACAUUAAAUUGCCGGUGAAGAAGACCUUGUUACCUCCUCUGCUUUGCUUCUUUGUGGAUUGGAUAAGAAAGAACGAAAAGGGAGAAUGGUGUUGAGUGGUUGAAGGCGAUGGUGGACGAUACAGCAGCAGUUUUAGUUUUGGUUUAGUGCAGGUAUAAUAUGUGCUUGUGUGGGGGUCAGACGCAGUGGUUGGAAAUUAAUCUUGGUUCUUGGUGAUUGGGGCUGAACAGGGGAUUGAUGGCUGCGAGAAAUUGGUUCAGUUUGGUGAUGGUAUUGCUCUGUGUGUGUUUGGCAUUGGGCGUGUUGAUGAUACGAUGGGAAGGUUUGGGUAUGGUGUAGGAAGACGUGGUGAUGGUGGGGUAGGAUUGGGUUAUGGAUUUGAUAUAUGUUUGUUUUUGUUGUUCUUUUUAUAUGCAGGGGAGUUGUAAGUCAGUCAGGAUGAGCAUGAAGAGGGUGAACUCGUGUAUGGAGGUCAUUCGAAAAUGAAGAGGAAUCAUGGAAUGGGCCGAACACGUCUCAAAUUAAAGAUGAAUGAUGCAAUGUGUUUUACCCGUUGGACCAAGCAGAAGAGAUAAGUGAUAAUAUGCAUUUAGUAGAGCAAAUCGACAUACAAGACGAUAUGCCAUAUACUCUAUUUACAGGACUAUUCGAGUGAGUAAGGCGUAGGCAUGGUUGGCUUACCUCUCGAAGCUUCACCUGCGGCGACAUCCUCCCUUCCUCUGGCUGACCUUGAUUGUGUUUGUGAUUGAAUGGUGAGUGGCGUGGAUGAUCCC